GAGGGUAUAGUUCAGUGGUAGAGCACAUGCUUAGCAUGCACAAGGUCCUGGGCUCAAUCCCCAGUACCUCCU
rnacentral:tRNA from 1 species